rnacentral:lncRNA from 1 species
AUAUUCCAGCACAAGGGACAGAGGGGGAACAUACUUGGUGUGUGUGAGUAACAUGGAGGAAGCAUGGCUAAGUGGCAUGAACAAGAAGGUAUGGUAGGUGCAGAGGGUGUAGGUGCAGCAGGUGGUAGGUGCACAGGGUGUAGGUGCAGUGGAUGUAGGUUCAGUGGAUGUAGGUGCAGACAGUGGUAGGUGCAGACAGUGGUAGGUGCAGAGCGUGUAGAUGCAGUGGAUGUAGGUACAGAGGGUGUAGGUGCAGUGGAUGUAGGUGCAGUGGAUGUGGGUGCAGAGGGUGUAGGUGCAGUGGAUGUGGGUGCAGAGGGUAUAGGCGCAGCAAGUGGUAAGUACAGAAGGUGUAGGUGGAGUGGAUGUGGGUGCAGAGGAUGUAGGUGCAGAGGGUGUAGGUGCAGUGGAUGUAGGUGCAUUGGACGUAGGUGCAAAGGGUGUAAGUACAGUGGAUGUAGGUGCAGAUGGUGUAGGUGCAGAGGAAGUAGGUGCAUUGGAUGUAGGUGCAAAGGGUGUGAGUACAGUGGAUGUAGGUGCAGAGGGUGUAGGUGCAGCAAGUGGUAACUACAGAGGGUGUAGGUGCAGUGGAUCUAGGUGCAGAUGGUGUAGGUGCAGAGGGUAUAGAUGCAGUGGAUGUAGGUGCAGAUGGUGUAGGUGCAGAUGGUGUAGGUGCAGAGGGUGUAGGUGCAGUGGAUGUAGGUGCAGAAGGUGGAGGUGCAGUGGAUGUAGGUGCAGAUGGUGUAGGUGCAGAAGGUGGAGGUGCAGUGGAUGUAGGUGCAGAUGGUGUAGGUGCAGAGGGUGUAGGUGCAGUGGAUCUAGGUGCAGAUUGUGUAGGUGCAGAGGGUAUAGGUGCAGUGGAUGUAGGUGCAGAUGGUGUAGGUGCAGAGGAUGCAGGUGCAGAAGGUGUAGGUGCAGUGGAUAUAGGUGCAGAUGGUGUAGGUGUAGAUGGUGUAGGUGUAUGGAUGUAGGUGCAGAGGGUGUAGGUGCUGUGGAUGUAGGUGCAGAGGGUGUAGGUACAGUGGAUGUAGAUGCAGAAGGUGUAGGUGCAGAGGGUGUAGGUGCAGUGAAUGUAGGUGCAGAGGGUGUAGAUGCAGUGGAUGUAGGUGCAGAGGAUGUAAGUGCAGCAAGUGGUAAGUGCAGAAGGUGUAGGUGCAGUGAAUGUAGGUGCAGAGGGUGUAGGUGCAGUGGAUGUAGGUGCAGAGGGUGUAAAUGCAGCAAGUGGUAAGUGCAGAAGGUGUAAGUUCAGUGGAUGUAGGUGCAGAAGGUAUAGGUGCAACAGGUUGUAGGUGCAGUGGAUGGCAGUACAGAGGGUGUAGGUGCAGUGGGGACCCAAUCAUUCAGCACCUCUAUAGAAGUAAUGGGAUGGGAUACAUUUUGAAGAUAGAGCAGACAGUAUUUGCUGACUAGAUAUGGAAUUUGGCAGGGGUAGGGGGAGAAGGCAGAGUCCAGAGUGACACCAAAGGUCUCUGGCCAGCACUGGAAAGACACAGAUGCCA